rnacentral:sRNA from 1 species
GAUAUUCGUCUGUUUACCUUGUGAUUGAUUUACGGUAUGACAAGUUCAGUGGCUCAAUUGUUGAUCAAUUGAAAGCUACAGAGAAACUAAAUGACAUUUCAGCAUGCUUGUGAACAUGAUCGAAAUAUUUUAAACUAGGAAAUAUCCAGGGAGUAGGGUGACAUGCUACAGUAAGAUCACAAAAUGUCCUCAGUCCUUGCUACUUCUGAGAAAAACAAAUUAUUGGAGGGCAAUUAAAUAAGGCACCACAGCCAACACCAUUUCGAUAAAGAUCAGAUGCAGCUGAUACAUCCCCACCAUUAACAGUGGCACCAAAGGAACCAAAUCCACAUGCACCAACUGCAUUAAGUUAUUAGAACAUUUUAUGUUAGCAAAAUCCCAUUACAUCUUUGUGUUUGGUGGUCUUCAAUCAGUUUAAUUUUCUUACCGUCUGUGCCAUUUUCUUCAGAGUUUGGGUAAUAUGCUGCACGAGAUUGAAUAAAGGAAGUAUCUGCCAGAGUUUGCAUGAAAAGAAAGGUGGCAAGAAGAGGACACAAAAGAGAAAGAGCCAUGCUAAGGACAGAAUUAUAAAAGACUAAAAGGAAACAAUUAAGAUAAGAAGACAAAGACAAAUUUAGUGAUGAAUGAGGGAACCGAAUUUCUCCUAUUUAUAGAGAAUUUGGUCAAUGUUACCAACUUUGAC